ACAUAGGAGCAGUGCAUGCUGGGAGACAGACAGGAAGUAAAUUCACCAUGCGGCCAUCAGCUACAGUUGUGUGAGCACAGUCAUCAGUUCUUUAGCUAGCAGGCUUUUCUUGCUCUCACUUUGCUAAGGCAACGUCUGCCCAACUUCCUGUCUGCUGCUGAAUUCGGCUGAAUUGACGCGGCAUGCUCUGGCACCCAGUAGAAAUCGAAGCCUUGAGUAUCUGCAAUUGAAGUGUCCAGGCGUCGGAGCUGCUAUGGAGUAGAUACGUGACGGAAAGGAGCCAGUGGAAAUACCUGGAAGCUUCGCUGUCGUGGUGAAGAUGGACCUGGUAGAAUUUGAGGACGCUGUUGUGGAGAGAGGAAGAAUACAUUGUUGGGCAGGGUGACACUAUCAAACAUCUGCUAAUCUGAGUGCGGCCAUGAAAUGAAGCCGUGUGAAGUAUUGUCAACAAUUACAACCCCCCCUCCCGCCCCCUCCUCCCGCUUCUUCCUCCGAGCAGCCUACCAUACAAGCACAGACAUGGAGGACUUCACCGCCUUUAAAUCAAAGCAAGAAACCUCCCCGGUGGACUUCUAACCUUUUAGUGGUCUUUUAAUAUGCCAGCUCUGCCCUAACUCCUGGCAAGCUGAGUGACAGGCCUGUUUCCACUGGUCCACAGAGUUGCUUCACUUCCCUUUCUUCCGUCAUUCCCCCCACUUCAGCUCUUCACUCAAUCCUGGAGAUUGGAGUCCCCUCCUCUUGAUCUCGCCGUUCCCCCCCCACUCUGUCCCCCCCCCCUGUCCUCUCCGGUCUCUUUGCAGGCCCUCCUUCAGCGGCUCUGUCUGGUGUGUCAGCCUGUGAAGCUUCUGCGCUACAGUACAUCCUGUUGAUAGGAAGCAUCCUGUGCAUCAUCACUCCCAGCUGCCUGUGGGUUCAGCUGGCUCAGUCUGGCCCAUCUGUGUGAUCUUCUGCCAGAUAACUGGGGUUUGGCUCUGCGUGAUCCGUCCCUCUCCAAAGCGUUUGCCAGGAGAAAGAGGUAGGGAGGCUGGAGAAAGAAAGGUGCAGGCUGGACAGCGAGCUCUGCAUUGAGUGCCCGGCCCGAGGGGGCUCUGCGGUGCUCAUCCCGGCUCUCCUGGGAUACCAUACAUUGCUCUUGUAUAACAAAGGACAUGGGAGCCCUAUGUUUAUUGAAGGAUGUGUAAGGAUGAGCUCCAGGUGUGACGGUGACGCAAGUAUCUAAUCCUGGUUGACAUUUAAAUGCCAUGGCUACCAUUGAUAUAUGGUUUGAAGAGCCUGUGGGACAUUGCUCCUAUUCCAAAUGUCUGCGAUAUAUUUCGAAGCAAAAUCUAAUAAAAGAAACGCGGACUAAGCA